UCUACGGGAGGCAGCAGUGAGGAAUAUUGGUCAAUGGCCGAGAGGCUGAACCAGCCAAGUCGCGUGAAGGAUGACUGCCCUACGGGUUGUAAACUUCUUUUCUAAAGGAGUAAAGUGAGGCACGUUUGCCUUUUUGUAUGUACUUUAUGAAUAAGGAUCGGCUAACUCCGUGCCAGCAGCCGCGGUAAUACGAAGGAUCCGAGCGUUAUCCGGAUUUAUUGGGUUUAAAGGGAGCGUAGAUGGGUUGUUACGUCAGUUGUGAAAUUUUGCGGCGCAACCGUAAAAUUGCAAUUGAUACUGGCAGCAUUGAGUACAGGUGAGGUAGGCGGAAUUCGUGGUGUAGCGGUGAAAUGCUUAGAUAUCACGAAGAACUCCGAUUGCGAAGGCAGCUUACUAAACUGCCACUGACAUUGAUGCUCGAAAGUGUUGGUAUCAAACAGGAUUAGAUACCCGAGUAGUC
rnacentral:rRNA from 1 species